ACAGAUGCAGCCUAUAUAUGUUACUCCUCGCCAAUGAAGAUAGUUCAUUGUAGAUAGUGCAUUAGGAUACGUCACGGAUACAUCACAUGUAAGUAUUUCUCUUUAAACUAUGUUUCUAUUUGUUAGGUAUUAAAAAUAAAUUUUCAGUAAGUGAAAUACCAGAUUGAAACUAUAUAACAAAUUGGUCUAAAACUAUUUUUAUUUUUUAAUAAGAAUAUACAGUAAUUGCAAAUAUAAAUUUCCAAUUUAGGAUUUGACUUAAAACAUGCAUGCAUCACAUUGAUUUUUGAAUUGAUUUACAAAAGCAAAUCGUCUUGAUUUUGAAACUGCAACAAAUUUAUAAUUUUUGUUUCUGUUGCAGAUGCAGCCUAAAUAUGUUGGCACUCCUUUACCAUGAAAGAUGCUUACAUUGUAGUUUAACACAUUAGAAUGAGUUACAUGUAGGUAUUUGGUCAUUUCAAUUGUUCUGAAAUAAUAAAACAAAAGUUUUUCCAGGAACAACAGUUUGAAACUUUAUUACAAAUUGGUCCUACAUUUCUUUUAUUAAAUUAUUUACUGUAAUGAUGUAUAUUUUAAUAAGAAUGCUCAGUGAUAGUAAAACUACUUUGUCUAGUCUCUAAUUUCGGAAUUGGCAUUUAACAUGCAUCACAUUAAGGAAGCUGGCUUGUCAUGUUUUAGAUUUUUAGUCAGAUUUUCGGAAUCCUCUGGUUUUAUCCAUUUGAAUGCCUUGAUAAAAUUUGCCCGGUGACCCCCAUUUUUCUUUUGUUAAUCUUUUAUAUGUAUAAUGAUAAGCCAUCUGUAAAAAUCUUAUAAAAUUUUAAUUACUUUUUAACAGUUUUUGAGAACUUCAACUUGUCAAUGAUAAAGCUAUGAAAAGUCGAGAGAAUAUUUUCCCGCCAAAAUUUCAAUGGCUUUUAUCUCAAAAACAAGCACGGUGACCUAUAUAUUUUUUUUGCUCUUUGGAUUCAUUUAUUAAUCCCCUAUCUAUAUAAACUAGUGUUUUGAAAAGUUAAUUACUUUGAAACUGAGAAGCGAACUCCCUUAAUUUCUUAAGUGGUUUGCAACUGGAAAUAGUCUUUUUUAAAACUGAAAUUAAAUUAUGUAUGUUUUUUGUUUUUGUUACAGAUACAGCCUCAAUAUGUAACACUCCUAUACCAUGAAAGAUGCUUCUAUUGUAGAAAGCACAUUAGGAAAAGUUGCAUGUAAGUAUUUGUUCAUAACAAUAUUUCUCAAAAAUAUGUCUACGUUUAUUAGUUAAUAAAACAAUUUUUGCUGGAAACAAUAAACUGAGCUUACAUGUAGGUAUUUGAGGGCACUGAAGUAAGCUUUAUAACAGACAUUGGUCUUAAAUUUUUCUUUCAUUCAGAUUUAUUCAUGUGAAGUAUAUUUUUAUCAGAAUGUAUAGAGAUUGUUAAAAAUAUACCUGUCUCCAAUUUAGGAUUUAACAUAAAACAUCCAUCACAUUAAUUUCCAAAUUGUUUUUGUUACAGAUUCAACUUAAAACAGAUGAUGUUUCAGUCGUAGCAGGUGCAGCAUGGCAGCCAAACAUGUUGAACUGAUUGUUGUGAUGAGACAGUUUAUUGCUUUGGAAAAUCCAAUUAUAUUGUUUAUAGAUUUAGAUAAUAAAAUUCUGUAAUGUUCAUAAUAUCAUAUGAUAAUUUGUUAAGUGCCCUCAAUAUGUCUUCAACGAAAUAUUAACAUGCACAAUUGAGGAUGCACUGUAAAAAAAUCUUCAAUAUUCUUAUUUUUAAAAGUAGGUUCUGAUUGUCAAUUUUAUAAGAUAUGUACAUAUUUACCUGAAUUUAUUUUUAAGGUAAUUGGAACAAUAUGACUAUUAAGAUUGUUUGAAAUUCAUGUUGAGUUUCAAUCAUUUCUGUUCAAAAUAUAUAUAUCACAUUCUUCUGGUUUGCCAGCAACUUCAAUUUUUGAAAUUAGAAAAUGAUGUAUAGCCAAAAGAUCAGUUGAACAAUGGUGUUGGUUGCAGUUAAUACCAGCUCUUUAUAGGAUCUUAAAAUGCCUAAAAUGGAAACAAUGUUUAAAUUUAACAAGUUACCAUAUCUACUGAUGAAGAAAUUAAAAUAUUGUGUAUGUUCCUUUUUUUGUACAAAUGGAUAUCUUUUGAGUAAUCGAUUGGAACACCCAAACAAUAACUUAAUCAUUUGGUUUUUUUCUUGUAUAUCCAUCAUUGUUUUUGUAAGAUAAAAACAAAAAGAAAGUAAUUUUGUUAAAAUUAUUUCUAAUUUUUAUCAACACAAUUAAAAUUCUAUUAAACUAAUAGUUUAGUUCAUGCUCCUUUAAUCUAUAUCUUAAAAGUUUUGUGGUGGGCUAAGCAAAUAUCAAAUAAUCAUUUCAGAAAUACACUUGAUUGCAGCGCUGCAUCUUCACUAACAUUUAACAUAGUUGGUUCUGAGUUACUGAGGUAGUUCCUAUUGGUGUGUUUCUUGUUUUUUCUAUGGAGGAAUCAGUAGUUUCUAUGUCUUCAGGAUAUGGUUUUGUCAUUCAAAGGGAACUCGCAAUCUCGCAAUGUAAUUCUGAAAUGAUAUAUAUUUGAUAUUUUAUUUUCAUUGAAAAAGAAACAAUAUUAAAUUUAUUGCAUGAACAUUUGAACUAUUUAAACUUUUUAAUUCAUAAUUUUUGGAAAUGGAAAAUUCAUAUUGUAACUGACAUAUUUUGGAAAUAGAAUUCAAAUUGUAACUGACACAUUUUGAAAAUUGAAUUCAAAUUGUAACUGACACAUUUUGGAAAUCGAAUUCAAAUUGUAACUGACACAUUUUGGAAAUAGAAUUUAAAUUGUAACUGACAGUUUGGAAAUAGAAUUCAAAUUGUAACUGACACAUUUUGGAAAUAUAAUUCAAAUUGUAACUGACACAUUUUGGAAAUUGAAUUCAAAUUGUAACUGACACAUUUUGGAAAUUGAAUUCAAAUUGUAACUGACACAUUUUGGAAAUAGAAUUCAAAUUGUAACUGACACAUUUUGGAAAUAGAAUUCAAAUUGUAACUGACACAUUUUGGAAAUAGAAUUCAAAUUGUAACUGACACAUUUUGGAAAUAGAAUUCAAAUUGUAACUGACACAUUUUGGAAAUAAAAUUCAAAUUGCAACUGACACAUUUUGAUGGAUGGAAUUUUAAAAAUAAGAACAUUUAUGUACUUAAUUUAAGCACAAGUGAAAACAAUUCCUAAAUAUAAAUUUUUGCUUCAUUUGGUAACAUGGAUGUGCAAAAUCACUGAUGGCUAACAAGGUUAAUUCCCUUAUUGGUUAGAUAAUGAAGUAUAGUCUACUGGACCCUGUAGACAUCCUACUAAAUGUAUUGAUAUAUUAAAUGUUUUUUUUAUAUCUCAAUCAAUAUUUGUACAUGCCUCACACAAAAAGGUGCAAGCAGAGUUGCAUGUACUGGACAGAGUCAGCUAUCAACUUUCUUUUUAUAACAGACCCAUUUCACAAUCAAUAUUUGUACAUGCCUCACACAUAAAGGUGCAAGCAGAGUUGCAUGUACUGGACAUUGUCAGCUAUCAAGUAUUUUUAUAACAAACCCACAGAACUGGUAUCCAGGAAAUUGAAAUGAAUCAACAAAACAUUUAUAUUGUAGAAAUGUAUUUUCCCGCGUUUCGGAGUAUAGCGGGAAAAUGUUGUCUAAAAGGAAUGUUUUAUAAGAACAGUAUGUUUUUGGCGGGUUUUGUUAUGUGUAGUUCUACACGUGGACCAAUCAUUUGGAUUGUGUCAAUAAGUAUUAUUAUGUUAAUAAGGUGAAAGCGGGUUUUUAAUUUUCUUGUGUUUGAAAAUCAUUCUAGCCACAGACGUUCAACACUAUAAAACUUAUAUUGUAUAUUAUUUUGCUGUUUUUUCUUGUGAUGGAGUUUGGCAUCAAUGUCCCGAGGCGUGCCUUGCACUUGCUCCGAACACAGGUUUCCAUAUCAAUUUCUUUAGUAAAGUUUUUGAUGGUUUUUCCUGGGCGGUGAGGUUACGUUAAAGACGGAUAUAUACAUAAAUACAUACAUAGAGAUAUGGGCUCUUAUUGAUUCAGACUAAACUUGUUUCAGAUGUUUAUUCUUUCUGUGUACUCAUUUGGAAUGUAUUUGUAUUUCAUAUAUGUCAUGAUUUAUAAUAUAAAUAUACAUUAAACGCCGGCUCUGUUAGUCUGCACGGCUAAAUGCAUUGCUUUGUGUUUGUUAUUAUUGUAGUGUAGUUAAGACUAAUAUAUUUCUCAUUAUACCUUACUUAUGAUGCAGAUUCAAAGAUGUACUACAGUGACAUAACACUACAAGUUACAAUAUAUUUUGUAUUUUUUGUCAUGAUGCAGAUUUUUGUCAUGUUAUUUUAAACAUGGUGCAUUACUUUUUUAGAGUUUUCUUUAUGUGUUAUGACGUAUGCUAUAUUUGCUAAACUUGUAUGCAUGUUUAUUAUGUUGAUGAAAAUAAAAUAUGAUGUCUAGGUUAUCAGCAAUAUGAAUAUAUUGUUUAUUUUGUUUAAGCCUAUAAAUUAUUUUGAAAGAUUCUUAAAUAAAAUGUAUUUGAAAACCG
rnacentral:lncRNA from 1 species